rnacentral:misc_RNA from 1 species
CCAGAAGAGCUACGAGUGAUUACUCGGGGACUGUAGAUCUUUCUCUAGAUUAGCCUUUUUCUAAUUAAUAUGUGACGCAAAUAUCAUUUAAAUUUAACACUUUUGGUUAAUAGAAUAAAGUAGAUGUUCCUUGAAAUUUGUGAAAGCUGUAACAAUAACAACGAUGACAACAAUCUUUAUUUUGUUUUUUGUUGGAAUUUUUGCAGUGUAGUUAAUUUUCUAUUUUGUGAAAAAGAAAGGACACGUUUUGUAGCAAUCAUAAUACGCUAUUCCAAUUUUAUUCUUAUCCAUAUUAACGGUACCAACAGAGUGUUUUAGCAAAGAAGGAAAAUAUUGGAACGAUUAAAAGAAUCAUUUCUCU